rfam:Pan troglodytes isolate Yerkes chimp pedigree #C0471 (Clint) chromosome 16, whole genome shotgun sequence.
GCUGGGCGUGGUGGCGCACGCCUGUAAUCCCAGCUACUCGGGAGGCUGAGGCAGGAGAAUCACUUGAACCCAGGAUGCGGAGGUUGCAGUGAGCCGAGAUCGAGCCACUGCACUCCAGCCUGGUGACAGAGUGAGACUCCGUCUCCA